UGGUCAGCCACAAGUUGCCUACCCAGCCCAGCAGGGGCAGUAUCCGCAAGCUCAAGCGCCCCCAACGGCCUACCCAGCCCAGCAGGGGCAGUAUCCGCAGGCUCAAGCGGCCCCCACCGGUGAGCAACAGUACAAAGAACUCGUUCAAUAGGUCAUCGAUGAUCUUUGACCUGAUGGAAUCAUGAUAUCUGGAGUUGGAAGAAGAAUUAAAUUCUUGAUUUGUUCAUGUUAAGCUGUAUCUGGAUGUACAUUAGGUUUUAGCCGUACAUGCUGUGGGUCAACAAAUAGAUUUAGAUGCAAUGCAAUAAUGUUGUCCUGCUUUAUUUUAGAAUA